GAUGAACGCUGGCGGCGUGCUUAACACAUGCAAGUCGAACGGAAAGGCCCAAGCUUGCUUGGGUACUCGAGUGGCGAACGGGUGAGUAACACGUGGGUGAUCUGCCCUGCACUUCGGGAUAAGCCUGGGAAACUGGGUCUAAUACCGGAUAGGACGAUGGUUUGGAUGCCAUUGUGGAAAGUUUUUUCGUUGUGGGAUGAGCUCGCGGCCUAUCAGCUUGUUGGGGGGGUAAUGGCGUACCAAGGCGUCGACGGGGAGCCGGCCUGAGAGGGGGUACGGCCACAUUGGGACUGAGAGACGGGCCAGAGUCCUACGGGAGGCAGCAGGGGGGAAUAUUGUACAAUGGGAGCAAGCGUGAUGCAGCGACGCCGCGUGGGGGAUGAGGGCUUUCGGGUGGUAAACUCCUCUCGCGAGGGACGCAGCGCUUUUGUGACGGUACCUGGAGAAGAAGCACCGGCUAACUACGUG
rnacentral:rRNA from 1 species